rnacentral:lncRNA from 1 species
GGGAUGGAAUCGUGAUCGAACGGAGGGCUCUCCGCCUUCUGCUUCUCCUUUCCGGGGAAGACAGGGCGAUUGGCCCAAGUGGCCCGUCCGAUCGUCGGAUUCUGAAACUCCGACGAUGCUCUUUCCAGCCGCACUGAUGCCUGCGGCUGUUGCGGCUGCUGCUGCAUGGCCUGUACUGCUUCGGUGAGGCUCCUGACCUGCUGAACCAGCAAGUCGAACUGCUCCAUACCGACUGCUGUUGCUGGAGGAGGAGGAGCCUGAAAAACUAGAGACUAGAUCGGAGUUUGCGGGUCUCGCUGAGAU